GUUUUCUUCGACCAAUGUGUUUUCUUUUGACAAAUUUAAUCCACUUGUGAAAAGCAGCCAUAUUUCAACGAAACUGAAUGAGUUAGCUUGUUCGCAACAUGGUUAGCUGCUGCUGUGGUUCCUGUAGCCUGAACGCUUCUUGCGUAAUAAUGCAUGUUUUGGACGCUUUUUCUGCCGCCUUGGCUGCCAAUAGGACUUUCGAACGUAGUCCAAAAACCAUAUGAAUUGCUGGUUUCUUCUACCGUAAACAUCCGGUGCAGCAGUUGAUGUAAUUACAAUGGUUCAGAGCGCCGAAUAACAGAACCAAUUUCGAAGACAGACGCUACUUCCAUGGACCGGUGUGACACUUACGUUUUUCGUAAGUUCUAUUUAUUAUAAAUGUAAGACAAUAUUUUUGCAUU